AAUUGCUAGUAAUGGCAGGUCAGCAUACUGCUGUGAAUACGUUCCCGGGCCCUUGUACACACCGCCCGUCACACCAUGAGAGUUGGGGAUACCCGAAGCCUGUGAGCUAACAGUAAUGGAGCAGCAGUCGAAGGUAGAAUCAAUGAUUGGGGUGAAGUCGUAACAAGGUACC
rnacentral:rRNA from 1 species